rnacentral:rRNA from 1 species
GCAGUCGAGCGGGCGUAGCAAUACGUCAGCGGCAGACGGGUGAGUAACGCGUGGGAACGUACCUUUUGGUUCGGAACAACACAGGGAAACUUGUGCUAAUACCGGAUAAGCCCUUACGGGGAAAGAUUUAUCGCCGAAAGAUCGGCCCGCGUCUGAUUAGCUUGUUGGUGAGGUAACGGCUCACCAAGGCGACGAUCAGUAGCUGGUCUGAGAGGAUGAUCAGCCACAUUGGGACUGAGACACGGCCCAAACUUCUACGGGAGGCAGCAGUGGGGAAUAUUGGACAAUGGGCGCAAGCCUGAUCCAGCCAUGCCGCGUGAGUGAUGAAGGCCCUAGGGUUGUAAAGCUCUUUUGUGCGGGAAGAUAAUGACGGUACCGCAAGAAUAAGCCCCGGCUAACUUCGUGCCAGCAGCCGCGGUAAUACGAAGGGGGCUAGCGUUGCUCGGAAUCACUGGGCGUAAAGGGUGCGUAGGCGGGUCUUUAAGUCAGAGGUGAAAGCCUGGAGCUCAACUCCAGAACUGCCUUUGAUACUGAGGAUCUUGAGUUCGGGAGAGGUGAGUGGAACUGCGAGUGUAGAGGUGAAAUUCGUAGAUAUUCGCAAGAACACCAGUGGCGAAGGCGGCUCACUGGCCCGAUACUGACGCUGAGGC